rnacentral:rRNA from 1 species
GUGGGGAAUUUUGGACAAUGGGCGCAAGCCUGAUCCAGCAAUGCCGCGUGCAGGAAGAAGGCCUUCGGGUUGUAAACUGCUUUUGUACGGAACGAAACGGUCCGGGUUAAUACCCUGGGCUAAUGACGGUACCGUAAGAAUAAGCACCGGCUAACUACGUGCCAGCAGCCGCGGUAAUACGUAGGGUGCAAGCGUUAAUCGGAAUUACUGGGCGUAAAGCGUGCGCAGGCGGUUUUGUAAGACAGGCGUGAAAUCCCCGGGCUCAACCUGGGAAUUGCGCUUGUGACUGCAAGGCUGUAGUGCGGCAGAGGGGGAUGGAAUUCCGCGUGUAGCAGUGAAAUGCGUAGAUAUGCGGAGGAACACCGAUGGCGAAGGCAAUCCCCUGGGCCUGCACUGACGCUCAUGCACGAAAGCGUGGGGAGCAAACAGGAUUAGAAACCCGAGUAGUCC